rnacentral:rRNA from 1 species
AGAGUUUGAUCUGGCUCAGGAUGAACGCUAGCGGCAGGCUUAAUACAUGCAAGUCGAGGGGCAGCAGGACUGUAGCAAUACAGUUGCUGGCGACCGGCAAACGGGUGCGGAACACGUACGCAAUCUACCCAAAACUGGUGAAUAGCCCUCCGAAAGGAGGAUUAAUACACCGUAACUUAAUGAGGUGGCAUCACUUUAUUAAUAUAGCUCCGGCGGUUUUGGAUGAGCGUGCGCCUGAUUAGGUAGUUGGCGGGGUAACGGCCCACCAAGCCUGCGAUCAGUAACUGGUGUGAGAGCACGACCAGUCACACGGGCACUGAGACACGGGCCCGACUCCUACGGGAGGCAGCAGUAAGGAAUAUUGGUCAAUGGACGCAAGUCUGAACCAGCCAUGCCGCGUGAAGGAUGAAGGUCCUCUGGAUUGUAAACUUCUUUUAUAGGGGACGAAACCCGGGUAUUCUUACCCGAUUGACGGUACCCUAGGAAUAAGCACCGGCUAACUCCGUGCCAGCAGCCGCGGUAAUACGGAGGGUGCAAGCGUUAUCCGGAUUCACUGGGUUUAAAGGGUG